UCGUAUUCAAACCGGGGCGGUCGGGUGCGCCCUGCACCGGCGGCGACGCCGUGCUGCGGGUCCCCGGCCCCCUCUUCCAAACCAAACCCCUGUGCACCUUUUGGGAAAGGCUGGUGCGAGCCGGCCCGCCCCUCUUCACAAACUCUUGUUUCGUUCAGAAUGCAUGCGGACUCGUCCGCCUAAACAAAAGAA
rnacentral:misc_RNA from 1 species